rnacentral:rRNA from 1 species
CUGCUGCCUUCCGUAGGAGUUUGGUCCGUGUCUCAGUACCAAUGUGGGGGACCUUCCUCUCAGAACCCCUAUCCAUCGUCGGUUUGGUGGGCCGUUACCCCGCCAACUGCCUAAUGGAACGCAUGCCUAUCUAUCAGCGAUGAAUCUUUAGCAAAUAUCCCCAUGCGGGGCCCCUGCUUCAUGCGGUAUUAGUCCGACUUUCGCCGGGUUAUCCCCCUCUGAUAGGUAAGUUGCAUACGCGUUACUCACCCGUGCGCCGGUCGCCGGG